UCAGGCUCUGCUCGGUGCUUCAGACGUGCUUUCGUCUAAGUCUGAGAAGGAUCUAUGAUUCGAGCAACUUGUCUUGGGACACCAGCAGGGAAGAGAGGAGGUUACCAAACAGCUUGAAGAAGCAGGGAUCUUGUCAAAGACCAAGCCUUUAGUGCUCUCUGCAGGAUUUCCCCUGAUUGCUGUAAAGGACUCGGGCAGAUUUCAGGACGUUUCUGUUAAUGAUGUCAUGGCAAGAUGCUGAACACUGACAUCUCCCAAGCAGAGGAGGUCAUUAGUACUGCACGGCGCCUCAGAGGUGUGGACCCUCUUGUACAGGCAGUUUUCCUUCACCCUGCUGAGGCAGUUCAGUCUCUUCCCUUCAGGCUCCACUUCUGAAACACAGCAGUGCCCAUAUCUGGGUCACAACACUCCCACUAGGGAUGAUUUCUUCAAGCCAGCUGAACCAAAGAAAGAAACCAACCCAAACAACCACCAUGACGGCACCCUCCCCCACUCCUGGCAAAGCCUUUCCUGCCCCCAAGGCAAUACCACUGAUGGGAUGAAGCCUACCCAGCUUUUUCCCCUGUUGAAGGCCAGCAUUUCCCCCAAGGAAUACACCAGAGAGGAAUCUGAAUCGCUAUUGAUGUCACGAGCGUUCCUGACCACAGCAAAUAGCCAUCAGUAGCCUUGGCCUUGUACAGCUGGCCCCAUCUGAACUGUGAUUACCUCUCCAAACUUCAGCAAGAUUAUAUUGGCAGCCAGCAUGAAGUAUGAGCCCAGAAGAGCAAUCAUUUAUCCACGAAGAUCACCCUCACGUGCUGCGUUACUGGAGUCUGCCUUGGAGGUGACAUCAGUUAAGAUGUUAAAAUGGCUAAUGCAUCAGUAAAGCAAAAUGGGAUCAAAAUGAAGGACGCCAGACGUGGGAGGCGAGCCCUUUAAAUUCCCAGCUAUAAAUGCCAGGUUUGUGAAUGAGCCUCUGCUGCCAGGUACUUUGCAGGAAAAGCCUUGCUAAUAAUUGGAGAAAAUGGCAUGGCACAAAACUCUCCCAAGUGCUUGGCCCGGGGGCUGUGUGUCCAUUAGAGGGAAUCAGAAAGUCAAAACAGACACUGUAAUUUCUCUGUACUUGCAUUAACCAUAUCCCCAACACUCGCA